UAGGGAAUCUUCCACAAUGGGCGCAAGCCUGAUGGAGCAACACCGCGUGAGUGAAGAAGGGUUUCGGCUCGUAAAGCUCUGUUGUUAAAGAAGAACACGUAUGAGAGUAACUGUUCAUACGUUGACGGUAUUUAACCAGAAAGUCGCGGCUAACUACGUGACAG
rnacentral:rRNA from 1 species